rnacentral:rRNA from 1 species
GGUGAACGCUAGCGGCAGGCUUAACACAUGCAAGUCGAGGGGCAGCAUGAAGGUUAGCAAUAACCUUUGAUGGCGACCGGCGCAAGGGUGCGUAACGCGUGAGCAACUUGCCCGUUUCAGGGGGAUAACCGGUGGAAACGCCGACUAAUACCCCAUAGUACAACUUUGAGGCAUCUUUUAGUUGUUAAAGAAUUUCGGAAACGGAUAGGCUCGCGUGACAUUAGCUAGAUGGCGGGGUAACGGCCCACCAUGGCGACGAUGUCUAGGGGUUCUGAGAGGAAGGUCCCCCACACUGGAACUGAGACACGGUCCAG